ensembl:rRNA 5S_rRNA 5S ribosomal RNA
UUUGACUCUACCACCCUGAACGCGCCCGAUCUCGUCUGAUCUCGGAAGCUAAGCAGGGUCGGGCCUGGUUAGUACUUGGAUGGAAGACUUUUUUUUUUUAAGAUCAUGCCCUGUCAGAU